AAACUUGAGAGUUUGAUCCUGGCUCAGAACGAACGCUGGCGGCGUGCCUAACACAUGCAAGUCGAACGAAGGUGCCCCUUCGGGGGUAUACUUAGUGGCGGACGGGUGAGUAACGCGUGGGAACCUGCCCUAGUGUGGGGAAUAACUACGGGAAACUGUAGCUAAUACCGCAUACGCCCUUCGGGGGAAAGGCUUCGGCCGCACCGGGAGGGGCCCGCGUCGGAUUAGCUUGUUGGUGGGGUAAUGGCCUACCAAGGCCGCGAUCCGUAACUGGUCUGAGAGGACGAUCAGUCACACUGGAACUGAGACACGGUCCAGACUCCUACGGGAGGCAGCAGUGGGGAAUUUUGCACAAUAGGGGAAACCCUGAUGCAGCGACGCCGCGUGGGUGAAGAAGGCCUUAGGGUUGUAAAACCCUUUCAGCAGGGAAGAUGAUGACGGUACCUGCAGAAGAAGCCCCGGCAAACUCCGUGCCAGCAGCCGCGGUAAUACGGAGGGGGCUAUCGUUGUUCGGAAUUACUGGGCGUAAAGCGCACGUAGGCGGUUUGGAAAGUUGGGUGUGAAAGCCCGGGGCUCAACCCCGGAACUGCACUCAAAACUUCCAGGCUAGAGAUCUGGAGAGGUGGGCGGAAUUCCGAGUGUAGUGGUGAAAUGCGUAGAUUAUCGGAAGAACACCGGUUGCGAAGGCGGCUCACUGGCCAGAGGCUGA
rnacentral:rRNA from 1 species